rnacentral:misc_RNA from 1 species
AAAGCUUCAAAGAUUUUAGUUGCAGGUACUCAUGCUGACAAUUUGGGCUACCAAUGUGGAGGGUGGACAAUUGCAUGGCAAGGAUUUAGUGGCAACAACUAUACAAGGGGAACAACCAUCCUUGCUGCCAUAAGAUCUAUAGUUGAUCCUAGUACAGAAGUUUUCUUCCAAGAGAAUCCUGAUAGCAAGUUUGUCAAGUCCAAUAACUUUGCUUAUGCUGUUGUUAUUGUUGGUGAGCCUCCUUAUGCUGAAACAGCAGGAGAUAGCAUGAACCUCAC